rnacentral:misc_RNA from 1 species
CCGAGUUUACAACUCCCAAACCCAAUGUGAACCAUACCAAACUGUUGCCUCGGCGGGGUCACGCCCCGGGUGCGUCGCAGCCCUCGGAACCAGGCGCCCGCCGGAGGGACCAACCAAACUCUUUCUGUAGUCCCCUCGCGGACGUUAUUUCUUACAGCUCUGAGCAAAAAAUUCAAAAUGAAUCA